rnacentral:rRNA from 1 species
AAUGGCCUAACGGCUGAACCAGCAACUUGGAAGAACGCAUAGCGAAAGCUAGUUGUUAGCAUCAAUUUAUUUGAAUAAAGUUCUGAUUAAUAUAAUGAUAAUGACAUAGAUUUCAUGUGUCUUGACCAAAUUACGUGCCAGCAGUCGCGGUAAUACGUAGUAGACUAGUGUUAUUCAUCUUUAAUAGGUUUAAAGGGUACCUAGACGGUAAAUCAAGCCUACUAAUUUAUAGAGUUACUUACGAGGGAGCUAAUAAGUACUGGUGUGUAGAGAUGAAAUUUUAUGAUACCUGACGGCACAGAUUAAGGCGAAAGCAUCUCCCUAUGUGAUAACUGCGUUGAAGGACGAAGG